UAGUGGCUUUCAAUGUCAGCAGUGGACGCGGUAGUAUAGUUGCCGCAUCGCACUCGGUCACCCGGUGACCAGUUCCUCGCCUGGUCACUGGGUCAUCCGGAUAUUCGACCUUCCAAAAGGGCCUUGAUGGGUUUUUGGCAUUAACAGCAAGCAAGAGCAAUCAACAACAACAGCGGAUUUUGGUAAAAAGACAAACAACUUGAUAAAUUGUGCGAUUUCCAGCGAACCACGUAAAACGAAGCGAAAACAAGUCAAGGUGCCGUUCACUGAGAGAAAAAGAGUGGUUUUGGGUGCGGUCUCUUGAUAAAGUCACUUCCAUGCGGAGUACUACUUUAUAAUUAACCGACUGGCUAAACGAGAGCAAAGGUCAUCGAACCCACUUACAUUGUUUUUUCUGAACAAUCAAGGACGCCUUAAGAACGUUCUGCAUCUGUAUACUCGUAUUUUUUAUCAUUACUGUGAGAAACACAAGUGGACGAGCCCUGGAAAUCGACCAAUCCGCGAGCUCUGAACGUUGGCAGCGGAUUAUCGCACGCAUUUAUGCAUGAUGAUGACAGAUGACGCAGUGCGUCAGGAGAUAUGAUCCAAGAAGACUAAGAAAUGAAACCAAUUAAAACCGGAUCACCAACAUAUGCUGCAAAGUCGCCGUUUUGAUGACCAUGGCUCUACAUAUCACGUAUACGCAACGUUAACGUGAGUAAAAGGGACUUCUUUCUGAUCUAUUUCCAUUACAAAUAUAUAUACAGAAUGUUCUUAUUGUUAAAAAAAAAUAACAAAAUUAUAUAUAUACU